UACGAAGGGGGCAAGCGUUACUCGGAAUUACUGGGCGUAAAGCGUGCGUAGGUGGUCUGUUAAGUCUGAUGUGAAAGCCCUGGGCUCAACCUGGGAAUUGCAUUGGAUACUGGCAGGCUAGAGUGCGGUAGAGGAUGGCGGAAUUCCCGGUGUAGCAGUGAAAUGCGUAGAGAUCGGGAGGAACAUCUGUGGCGAAGGCGGCCAUCUGGACCAGCACUGACACUGAGGCACGAAAGCGUGGGGAGCAAACAGG
rnacentral:rRNA from 1 species